CUUUCAGAACGUAAUUUUCAGAAAGUUCUAGAACUUCAGGCAUGGAUAAGCCCUUUAAAGAUCAUCUACUCCAGCCCUGCUGUUGCUUACAUCCUCUUUACAGCAUCCUCACCCAGUGACCAUUCGGCCUGGGCCUCAAUGCCUCUCCUGAUGAGGAAUUUGUCACCUUACCACGAAAGCCCCAUCUUUGGACACCUCUGCUGUUGAUGAUUACAAUAGUGAUCAUUUUGUUUGUUUGUUGUUGUUGUUGUUGUUGUUUGAGAUGGCAUCUCGCUCU
rnacentral:lncRNA from 1 species